UCCCGGGUGAGGAUACCGUGGUGGGAAACACCCGUUCCCAUUCCGAAUACGGCCGUUAAGCCACCGCGGGCCGAUGGUAGUGAGGGGGUAGCCCCUUGUGAGAGUAGGUUAUCGCCCGGG
rnacentral:rRNA from 1 species